GUGAACGCUGGCGGUAGGCCUAACACAUGCAAGUCGAACGGCAGCACAGUAAGAGCUUGCUCUUACGGGUGGCGAGUGGCGGACGGGUGAGGAAUACAUCGGAAUCUACUUUUUCGUGGGGGAUAACGUAGGGAAACUUACGCUAAUACCGCAUACGACCUACGGGUGAAAGCAGGGGAUCUUCUGACCUUGCGCGAUUGAAUGAGCCGAUGUCGGAUUAGCUAGUUGGUGGGGUAAAGGCCCACCAAGGCGACGAUCCGUAGCUGGUCUGAGAGGAUGAUCAGCCACACUGGAACUGCGACACGGUCCAGACUCCUACGGGAGGCAGCAGUGGGGAAUAUUGGACAAUGGGCGCAAGCCUGAUCCAGCCAUACCGCGUGGGUGAAGAAGGCCUUCGGGUUGUAAAGCCCUUUUGUUGGGAAAGAAAAGCAGCAGGUUAAUACCCCGCUGUUCUGACGGUACCCAAAGAAUAAGCACCGGCUAACUUCGUG
rnacentral:rRNA from 1 species